rnacentral:sRNA from 1 species
ACUUUGCUUUUGCUCACCCUUUCUGUUGAUCUCCCUGCUUUGUGUUUUCUUCUGGUAACUUAUCACAUAGUUGUCAGCUGUUCCUCUUGUUUGACUGCCAGCCCCUGUGGGGAAAUCAGGGUUUCCAGGCACAAGCGCUGGGCAGCCAGGGUAAGGUGCAGCUCUCUCCCUGCAGACUGAGUAUCGUAAUAAAUGUGAGUUUCUGGUUGGCGUCGGGGUGGAUGGGGAGGAUAACACCGUGGGCUGUCGGCUCGGCAAGUACAAGGGCGGGACGUGUGCUGUGGCAGCCCCGUUUGACACCGUGCACAUCCCCGAAGCCACCAAGCAGGUGGUGAAGGCCUUCCAGGAGUUCAUCCGGUCCACUCCAUACUCGGCAUACGACCCAGAGACAUACACAGGCCACUGGAAGCAGCUGACUGUGCGCACCAGCCGCCGCCGCCAGGCCAUGGCCAUUGCCUACUUCCACCCCCAGAAGCUGAGCCCUGAGGAGCUGGCAGAGCUGAAGGCCUCCCUAGCGCAGCACUUCACAGCAGGGCCAGGCAGGGCCAGUGGAGUGACCUGCCUCUACUUCGUGGAGGAGGG